rnacentral:rRNA from 1 species
CGCGUAGGCGGCGAGGUCAGUCGAAUGUGAAAGCCCUGGGCUUAACCUGGGAAUUGCACUCGAUACUGCCUGGCUAGAGUAUGGGAGAGGGAAGUGGAAUUUCCGGUGUAGCGGUGAAAUGCGUAGAUAUCGGAAGGAACACCAGUGGCGAAGGCGACUUCCUGGCCCAAUACUGACGCUGAGGUGCGAAAGCGUGGGUAGCGAACA